rnacentral:lncRNA from 1 species
GGUCAAUAAAAAGGUGGUCAUGAUCACUCCCAAGCAUAAAGGUGACAACUGAGAGAGGUCUGGGUUUUUGAGCUACUUGCAGUUAGCUCAACCCUAGGGUUUAAAACUUUAAAUAUCAAAGUUUUAAGUAGAAGUUGAAUACCCAUCAAACAAGAAAAUUUAGGAAAGACUUUGAACGGGGAAUCAUGAGAUAGAAGGUUGCCCCCUUUCACUAUCUUACCAUGCUUGCCUUUAGUCACUUCAACAUGAGGAAAAGAAGGGGAGAGAUUCUUAAAGAGAGAAGCAAAGAUGGGGCAGAG